GGCUUGAGCAAAGGUGCAGAUGCCGGAGCCCACGCCGGACCCAACCUGUCUGCUGAUGAGCAAGGUGGCACCAGGAGGUCGAGAGUCCCGGGGCAGAACAGCGCCAGUGAAGUGAGAAUCAUCACAGAUGCCACCAACACGGUGCCUACUCCGUGCCCACCUGUGCUUGCAGGACUUCCAGCCCCAGGCUGUGGUUGCCACACAGGCCUCCUUACUGCUCCUUGAACAUGCCAGCGUGCUCCUGCCUCAACCUGUCACCCCGUCGCUGCCAUCCCCGUAUGGCUCAGCUUC